GCUAUUAUAGAAACUAGGAGCAUGAAUACGAUAGAUUCUACAUUGAGAUAUUUCAAAGCUCAAACUCCAACGGAGUUGGAGCCAUCAGUUGGUAUAGAGGUUUCUGAGACCUAAUCCAAAUCGGAAAAUAACACAGAGGAUCAAACACGAAUAUGAACCAGGAAAGAAGAUCAAGCAUUUAUCCUCACCUGCAGGCUUAGUUUGAAAAAUUGAUCACAGGAAACUUACCAGACGACUGUCCCAAAAUCCGUCGCAUUGUGUAGGUAAAAGCCACUUCUCCUCAUCACAGCAAGUCUCAUCAACAUCAACUAUCAACUCAACACAAAUAUGAAUGCCUACAAUUCUAUCACCUCUGCUAAAAGGUAAGCACCACACCUCUCAAUUGAAUAAGUACUUUUAUAUGAUUUCAAGCAUAAUCUGCAGAUUUAAGGAACAUACUACAUCUAUCGACCACAAUCAGAAAUACAUAAUAGUAUAAUCAUACAUAUCAACACCAAAAACAUUACAUAGAAAAUUGAUGACCGACGAUGAAAUACAACCUAAAACUCCACUAAAUAUGUGGUAAACCCCAGUUAUUACUCAACUUGGAGAUUAUUAAAUGGGGAUUUAAAACAAAACGUAGAUACAGAAAAGAAUGGAGAAAAGGUACCAAAACAACAAGGGAAAGGAGAAGCUCACACCAGCCGAUCCCUCAAACUAGCAGAAACACUUUUUGUCUAUAACUUACUCAAAGCAAGUCCCAACUUAUUCGUGAUUGUGCAACUGCAGCAUGGGUGCUUGAUGUGGUUGUAGGUGAUGAGAAAUGAUCCAGCAAUGGCGCUGGAGUGGAAUCAAAUGUUUCCCAUUGUGUUGUUAUGACAACAGACCCUGAGGUUGAGUGCCUCGAUUGGUGCUGCUGUUUGCUUUGUACUGGUGAAUUUCUAAAGGAAUGUCUAUCUUGAUGUUGUUGAACUGGUGAUGAUGCCUGCUCAUUCAAAUACAUAUAAUCUUGAUGAGGACGAGCUGGGGGAGAUUGGUCUUUCGGAGUGUGGUUUCCAUUGUUUGUUGGCAUUGAAUUUUUUAUCUUCAAUACAUCUAGUGUUUCAACACACUUUUGCACUUUUCUCACCUGAUUUUUUCUCUGCAGUUUUAUAUCACCUUCAGCAAUAAUACCAUCCAAUUGAAGCAGUUGAUUCAUCAACAACUCUGUUAGAUUUAUCACAUCCUUUUCUACAACUUUCCCACCUUUAGAAACUACAGAUUCGAGUGCAGAAACCUGUCUAGCCAGCCUGUCGACUUCCAAACUGAUGUCUGAAAUAGUUUUAGCUGCCUUCUCCACUUUAGCAUUCUUUCUCAUCUCGAGAUACCGUUUUUCUUGGCUAAUUGGAUCUUCAAUUAGAACAAUUUUGGACUUAUCCUUCACGCCAGCGAUAUCAAGAAAUGUUUUAUUUUCCCUUUCUUUGUCUUUAUACAGUAACUUCUGAUCUUCGUGAUGCAACCCAGUUGGACCGCUCAACAUCUUCUUCAAUUCUCCAAAGGUUGCUUGAGAACUGAUAUUGAUCUCAUGGUUAACAGAGCGAUACUUGACCCGGACCCGAAUAGUAGGAGGAGGACGACGAUUUUCAGAAUCCAGGUUGCGUUUCUGAACCAGCAUUCCACUGGGCCUCAGCUCCCACUCAUUUUCGCUGCCAACAGAACCACCGUUCAUUAUUGGCGGCAUUCCGGUAGUUCUGGUCUUCAUUCCCAUCAUCUUUUGAGUUCGUAAGCGAGAAUGUGGAUGGCAAAGUGUCGGCGGCAGAGAAAAUGCCCACAGAGAGAGGCUCUGGCGAUUUAGCAAAGUUAAAAAUGAGGAGAAAUUGCAGAUCUUAUGAAAGAGCUAGAAAUGUAAAGAAGAAAAUAGUAGGAGACAGAUUUUGCCCAAAUUGACGAGACACUUAGCCAAUCACAAAGUUCACGGAUUUAUCUGAUUACUGAUUUCAAUGUUACAUGAAAAUUUGGCAUUUAAAAAAAAU
rnacentral:misc_RNA from 1 species